rnacentral:misc_RNA from 1 species
AAAUAGAUCAUCAAGAACCAGCUUCAUUUAUGAGAUGUUAAAUACAUGCCAAAAACUAGUCUCAGUUUUAACUAAAACAUCAAAUAAAAUUGAGGGCUAAAGCAGGUGAUCCAAAUCACCAAUUCUAUACAUUACUGCUUAUGAUAAACGAACAUGUGUGGAACACAAACUAGUGCUGGUAAAUUAUCCACCACUUUGCAAUUGCAUAUAUGAACACAUGAUGGACCAACUCAUACAAUU